AUUUUAUCCUUUAUUCAUUUUUAGAUAAUUUCAUCUUAAAGGAGAUUUGGUGACUUAAAAGGGACAGUAUUCAAGAGUUAGAGUUUAAUUGUAAUCUGGUUUACAUUUCAAAUACAGAAUCAUCAAAUUUCAAUAUCUUUUGCUGUCCUUGAGAGAGAGAAUGUAUUUGGUUAAGUGUUUUUAUUUAAGGUAAGACUAAGGUAGCUGACAGGUGCUCAUGCGGGAGGAAGAACAAUUCUCCUUAUUUCAGUUCUUCAGAUGCUGGUAGCCUCAUUAAGAUAAUAAAAUUUGUAUUAUGCCUUUUUCUUUUUCUAGCUUUGUACUAGUUAUCUGUAACGGCAUAAAAAUUACCCCCAAAUUUAGCACUUAAACAAACAUCUUGGUUUGUCUCUCACAAGGCUGCAAUCAAGGUGUUGGCUGCAGUCAUCUCAAGAGUUCCACUGGGGUGGAUCCCCUUCCAAACUCAUGUCUCGUUGGCAGGAUUCAGUUGGAGGCUAUUGGAAUGAGGGCCUCAGUUCCAUGUUAGCUGUUGGCUGGAAAGUUCUGCUUCUCGUCACAUGGGCCUUUCCAAAGAACACCUCACCUUCCGAGCAGGAAAGCACAAAAGUAAGAGAGGGCAAGGAGACAGAAGCCAGAGACUUUCUGCCACCAAACCUCACGAGUGCUCUCUCCCUUCCUGCUUCUGUUCUACUCCUCAGAAGCAAGCCACUAAGUCCAGCUCACACCCAAGGACAGGAGGUUACACAAGAGUGCACACCAGCGGGCAGGUUUCACUGGGAACCAUCUCAGAAGCUUCCUACCACUAGUUUUGUUGUUUCAGAUGAAAAGCUACUGACUGAGGAAGUGACUGCCUCUUCCUACACACAUGGACUUGCAGGCUGCAGGACUACACAUCGGCACCCGCUGCACAUUUCCUAUCUGUUCCUUGUGCUCAUUCUCAAAGCGGAACUUUCCUAUGAGGUGUACACAUGACAGUGAUAAAAUAACUCAAGGGUACAGAAAGAACUCCCUGACUAUUCACAUAAUUUUUUGGAUUGAAAUUUGUGAAUACUUCACUACACCACAACUUAAUAGGACCAAUAUUAUCAGUGGAAGAAUAAAACAAGAUUUGGAAAGCAUGGCUGAAUACCUAGAUUUCUGAUGGAAAUUCCUUUAGCAAUCAACAACUACUCAAAAUGUUUCAACAUGCUUGUAAUCCCAGCUCUUUGGGAGGCCAAGGCAGGAUUGCUUGAGCCCAGGAGUUUGAAACCAGCCUGGGUAACGUAGUGAGACUCCAUUUCUUAAAAUAAAAAACAAAAAAACAAAAAAAUCAGCUGGGCCAGGAGCAGUGGCUCACUCCUGUAAUCCCAGCAUUUUGGGAGGCCUAGGCGGGCAGACUGCUUGAGCUCAGGAGUUCCAGACCAGCCUGGCAACACUGCCAAACCCUGUCUCUACAAAAAUAAUUUUAAAAAGUUAGCCUGUGGUGGUGCGUGCCUGUAGUCUCAGCUACUAGGCAGGCUAAGGCAGGAAGAUCUCCUGAGCCCUAGAGGUUGAGGUUGUAGUGAGCUGAGAUUGUGCCACUGCACUCCAGCCUGGGUUACAAAGCAAGACUCUGCCUCAAAAGAAAAAAAGUUUCAAUAAAAUAUGUACUGGCUCAGAGGCCUAAAUGGCAUCAGAUAUUGUGGAGUAUGACAAAGGUUGGAGGGUAAGAGGACUUUUAAAUAACACUUGUUUCUCAAUCCUAAAUAACACAAAGUAAAAUUGCUCUGUAACUAUUUACAGAGACAGACCAGUGGUAACUACCUUCUUUCUUCUUCCUUUGUGCCCUGAUCUGUGCCUGAUGCUUGUGAAACUCAGAGGAGUUUCUGCCUUCUUUUGCUCCCUACUCCGUGUUCACCUAUCUUGAGGUCUACUCAUCCAUGUUUCUAAGCUGUGCUAUGGCUGGGGCACUGUGCACCCUGAAAAGACAGCUUGGCUUUCCAGCCCACCCCGUGCCAGUCCUCACUGCCUCUUCAGUGACCGGAGGCAGCAGACUGGAACCUGCAGGCAACCCGGGACAAAACGCAUUUUUUUUUUUAGUUCAUCUUCACUCAAAGAUUAAUUUGAAAACAUAAAAUGGUUCUAAGUGUAAUAAAAUAAGGUUGCUCUUAUUAUCAUAACUAGGAUUACUUUAUUUUGGAAGCUAGUAGAUAGGAAAUGCCAACUUUGCCCUGGAAGGAAAUACAGAUUCUGUGGGCAUAAGUGAUCUAAAUUCUUUGCCACUUCUAGACUUUAGAAAUUGAGGCAAGCAAGGAAAUCAGAACAAGUUUUUAAUUCUAGUUCAAGAGUCAAAAUUCUUUUCUGUAAAAUGCCAAAUCUAGGAUUAAGCAUAUUCUCAUAUGGCCUGGAAGUUAAUCUCUAAUAAAAAUCUACUGCUUAAAAAAAAUUUACACUAGACAGUGCAUACUAAACAUGCACCUAGUCAUUAGCUUUUUAGGCUUUUGUAGUAAUUAAACCAAUUGCAAAAAUACAUUUUAAAAAAGUUAAUACAGUAAAGCAAAUUCAGAGUUUUGAAUUAUUAGCAGAGGUAUAUAAAACAUAAGUGAUUUUGCAGAAAGCUAAAAAAGAUAUCCAAGAUAAUCUUGUCAUUUAUAGUAGCUUGAGCUCCAAUUGUUCUCCAAAACUCAAGAGAUAUGGCACACAAAUGUUUAAUUUCUAGAAUACACGUCUCCUUUAGAUUUAAAAAAGAUCGGAAAAGCAAGAACACAAGAGCUCUUCCUGCCUAGUAUCAAGCCUGUAUACUGUUAACAAACAUUGCUCAGUAAGAAUUCACAGGUGCCAAGGAAUCAUGGCAGCAAAACUGUAGAACAGUGUUACAUACAUUUAAAUGGGAAACAUAAUGCAUUGAAAAAAUUAUAGAAUUACAUUUCAAUUCAGAAUGACUGACAAGCUUACAUGGAACAUCUGGGCUGCUGUUUAGGAGUGCUUGACUUUUAAAACCCACAGCUGACAAAAGCAAGAGGCAGCAAAAAAAGAAAAGAGUACUGGGGUUCUUGGGACCCUGGGGCUGACUUCACUUCUGUGGGCUUCAGUCUUCUCAUUAAUACACUUGGGCCAGAUAGUCUUUCUUGGAUCUUUAAAACCACCAAAAACUCAAUGAUCCUUCUGGGUCUAAUCAGUGUGGUUCAAGGCAUAUUAUUUUUAAUUCUUGCAAUAAAGUGACAUGAACAAUACAUAGCAGACCCCAUUUUGCAAUAAGAGCAUAAUCUCCUUUGAGAAUUAUUCUUGAAAUCACAACCAGGCUUCUCCCGUCCCCUCUCAUCAGUGAACACACUCCUGAAACAGAGAAGCAUUCUUCUCAUCAGACAUUGGCAGAACCAUACAAAUGUUCAGAGGCAGACUUUCAGGAGGUUCUUUUAAAGUCUAACAAUUCUAUGAAGCAUAGCAAAGACACUGACAUAACCGCUGUCGGGUUAAAGAAGUCUUUGAAAUCUUUCGUGAUGUGAAAUGUGAACAUUCUCUGCUUUUUGUUAAACCUUUAAACUCUCCCCACACACAAAAGAAUAUCACACCUUAUUCCUACA
rnacentral:lncRNA from 1 species